AGAUAGGUUUAGCUGAAUAGUCUAGUUUAUCGUAUAUCCGUCAACAACUUGAUCUAGAUGCCAGAAAUGUCUUGUCAAAACUUCAAUAUCCCAAAUGUACCACCAGACUUAAGACGGGAGGAGACUGUUCAUCAGAUUGCAGACUCCCUGAGUUAUUUGGACCAAGUGGCCAAUGAAGUAUUUAAAAGAAUAAGCAACAAACUCAACGAGAACCGAACAAGGCUCCAGAGAGUCAAUGACAGGAUAAGCUUAGCCCAGGCCAAAGUGGACAAAAUCAAAGGCAGCAACAAAGCCACCAAAGUGUUUGCCUCGGCCAAAUACCCAGUGUCUGAAGACUUGGAGGAGUAUGGGCUGAUAUUUCCCUUACAGAGCAGCAAUGGCCUACGUGAAAUCAAGCGGCCACAUUACAGAGUAUCCUCCAAACAUAAGGGACUCGAUGAUAAAUCCCUGAAGGAGAAAUUACAGUUCUACAAUGUUCAUCUAAAACUGAAGCAUAAAAAUGAUGCCAGCCAGAGGGAUGGACUUGGAGGAUUACCAAAAUCAAUUCCCUCCAUCAGCUCGCUGCUACUGUUCAACACCUCAGAGAACUUAUAUAAGCAAUACACAAUGCUGGACCCUCUGGGAGUGGUGAAGAAGACACGUACAGCGAUGGAGGAGGAGAGUGAAAUCGAUGCGGCCCCCACCACCAUCACCACUAACGAGGGGCUACAGGGACAGAAGGUGGACGACAUCUCCUUCAAACCGGUCAUUGUCGACUUCCCAGAGAUUGCUGUCCCCGACUUCCUACCCAACCUACCAGGUGUUGCUGAUGAUCUCUCCUUUGUAUUAGACCAAGAAAAAUCCAUAGCCCCGUCUGUCCUGGGCAGUAAACAUUCCUGACUUACCCUCAGUGAUCCCUGAAGAAAUUCUUCCCUCUGUUCCUGAAAUAUCCCAGGCCCCUCCCAGUGUGGAUGCACCACCUCCCCCUGGUGCUCCACCCCCACCUCCACCCCCUUCUGCUCCAGCCCCACCCCCUCCUGGGGCACCCCCACCUCCUCCCCCUCCACCUACAGCCCCAGAAGCUCCCCCUCCCCCACCCCCUGGACCUCCAAGUGCAGUACCAGAUUCGGCGCCUGCCGAAGUUGCCCAGCCAAGUGACACUAGGUCUAGUUUACUGGAUGCCAUACGUAAGACGGGAGGUGUAGGUGGAGCCAAGCUAAAGAGUGCCAAAGAUAGGAAAUU
rnacentral:misc_RNA from 1 species